rnacentral:rRNA from 1 species
AACGAACGCUGGCGGCAGGCUUAACACAUGCAAGUCGAGCGCCCCGCCAGGGGCUCGGCCGCCGGGUGAGUAACGCGUGGGAACGUACCCUUAUCUUCGGGAUAGCUCCGGGAUACUGGAAUUAAUACCGAAUGUGCCCUUUGGGGGGAAGAUUUAUCGGAUAAGGAUCGGCCCGCGUCGGAUUAGCUAGGUGGUGGGGUAAAGGCCUACCACCGCGACGAUCCAUAGCUGGUCUGAGAGGAUGCUCAGCCACAUUGGGACUGAGACACGGCCCACACUCCUACGGGGCGCAGGAGAGGGGAAUAUUGGACGAGGGGCGCAAGUGUGACGCAGCCAUGUCGGGUGAGAGAUGAAGGGCUUAGGGUUGUAAAGCUCCUUCAGCGGAGAAGUUAAUGACGGUAGCCGGAGAAGAAGCCCCGGCUAACUUCGUG